rnacentral:lncRNA from 1 species
AUGAUGUCUUCUGACUUCGUGGUAUUUAGAGCCGGGGUCGCAUUGGUUUUGAUGUGCAGUUUUUACAAGUCAACUGAAGACCCUCUCCCAGAACUGAGUCCUCAGCAGUAUUUCAGCACACUGCAGCCAGGAAAAGCCUCUUUAGCUUAUUUUUGUCAAGUUGGUUCUCUAAGUAACUCUCUGUUUCUUGAAGAACUAAAAGAAGCCAUUAGACCUCUCCAGGACUAUGGGAUUUCAGUCUCAAAGGUUAAUUGUGUCAAAGAAGAAGCGUCAAGGUACUGCGGCAAAGAAGAGGCUUUGAUGAAAGCAUAUUUAUUCAGAGGCAACAUACUGCUCAGAGAAUUCCCCACUGACACCUUGUUUGAUGUGAACGCCAUCGUUGCACACGUUCUCUUGUAAGUACAGGGGGCACCCAUUUGCUUGUCUGUUGGUGAUUUCCACUUUUGAGAAGCACAAUCCUUGGAGAUACUUUAGAGUUUUAACAUAUUUAUAGGCAUAAGUUUCAGACAGAUCGCCAGUUUAUCAUCUCAACUCAAGGAUCUAAAGUUUUUCUUCAGUGACAAAAAACACAGGAAGACAUGCUCUAUUUGAAAGGUUUUCUUGCUAUUGGCUUGCUAGUGCAGUGAGUAUUUACUCAAUGCUGUAGUCUGUCUGAGAUGCUGUAACAGAAUCCACAGACCAAGUGGCAUAGAAAGCAGAAUUUUCUUUUUCUUUCUUUCUUUUUUUUUUUUUGUUUUUUUUCGAGACAGGGUUUCUCUGUGUAGCUUUGGAGGCUGUCCUGGCACUCGCUCUGGACUCAAACUCACAGAGAUCUGCCUACCUCUGCCUCCUGAGUGAUGGGAUUAAAGGCAUGUGCCACCAACGUCCGGCUAUUUUUCAGUUUUGGAGGCUGAAAAUCCAUGUCAUAUUACUGACUAAUUUGGUGUCAGAUGAG